GACCCUUUGGGACAUCCGAUAAAAUUAAAGAUACAGAAAAGAUUAGCAUCGCUUCUGCGCAAGGAUGAUAGGCACAAAUUGAGAAAUGGUUUUAAAUUUU